UACAGAGGGGGCAAGCGUUGUUCGGAAUUACUGGGCGUAAAGGGCGCGUAGGCGGCCUUCUAAGUCGAACGUGAAAUCCCCGGGCUCAACCCGGGAACUGCGUCCGAUACUGGAAGGCUUGAAUCCGGGAGAGGGAUGCGGAAUUCCAGGUGUAGCGGUGAAAUGCGUAGAUAUCUGGAGGAACACCGGUGGCGGAGGCGGCAUCCUGGACCGGCAUUGACGCUGAGGCGCGAAAGCUAGGGGAGCAAACGGG
rnacentral:rRNA from 1 species